AACCUCGUAGUUCAGCUGGUAGAGCAUGCGCGUACAAAGCGUAGGCGGCGUCCAUGCGUGGGUUCGAAUCCCACCGAGGCUA
rnacentral:tRNA from 1 species